AAACAGAAAAAAAGAAUUCAAGCAUGAGAUCCCAGAACAAGAGCAUUAAAGGAAAGAAAUGAAGUCGGGAAGACAACAAAAUAUCCAGAUAAAGGCAACUGACCAGACUUGAAUACUUAUCCCAAGAAACCAGGAACUGUUUACGUGUUGGUAUUUCCCAUUGCUUCCAAAAUCCAAGCAUCAUAGACCAUCAAGAACUGCUCUGUGCCAGACGCAGUGUAAGGCUCAGUAGUCACAGACCUCUUCCUCAAUAAAGGUAGGUGUAAACACACUCCUCUGAGUCUCCUCUAUCAUAGCGCUUAUUAGGUGAUAUUGUCAGGUACAUGCUGGGAACAUUAAGGAGGUAGGAGAUGGCAUCUUGGGAAGCUUCAGGAAUGAAGUAUGAAUUAAAUCUCAGAUAUUGAGUCACAGCUGGCCAGAUAAUUAGGAAAAGCAUAUGGACAGGCACAGAGGUACGAAGAGGGUCCCUCUUGGCAAAAUGAAGCAACAGGCUGCCUUUUGGCUGAGGCUCCGCUUUGACGAAGGAACUUCGAUGUGUACACAGUCGCUGGGAUCAACUCACAGGACUAUUAAUAAAAAGGAAGAUAUUCAUCACACAACUCUAAACUCAUGUCAUCAACUGGUAACCAGAGAUGACCUUGUACUGUGAGAGGAUUUGACCCUGGCAUGUGAAAUGGCAGACGAGAGCUAGAAAGAGUCAAGGCAACAUUUCUUUUGUGCUAUUGUCAACUUUUACAAGAUAUGAAGCUUCACAACCUGCUAAAAAUGAGCUUUCCUAAUAUCUCUGGACCUACCUGUCUAGGAAUCAGAUGAAGCCUGAAACCAGAGACUCAUUUUCUUCUAAAAUGCUUUCUCCAAAAGAGUUUUUUAAAAGAGAAGGGGGAAAUGUGAAAGGAAACUAAAUCUAGGGGCCCCAAAAUCACUAAGCUAAAGUGAAAAGUCAAGCUGGUGACUGUUUAGGGCAAACCUGCCUCCCAUUCUAU